CCGUUAAAUGUUUUAAAUCAAAUUCACUUUACAAGUAAUGAAGUAAGUUUUUGAACGUCUACAAUUCGAUGGUCUAGUGCACAAAUACGUAUGACAAACAAAAGAUUGUCGUCCUCUGUUCAAUAUUCAUAGACAAGAGACGAAUUUCACAUUCCUGAAAAUCUACAUGAAACGAUUGGGCAAUUAUCAAAAUAUCAAAAAUGCAUUAUUCCAGAGACGACCGCCCCAUACGAGUUACGGCGACGGAAAGAACACCCAGACACCCAAUAGCAACCAAGUUUACUUUGCG